GUUGAACUUUACGAUAUAGGUGCUUUAUAGCUUUGCCUAUAAGUUAAAAGGGAAGUCGGGUGCAAAUCCCGCGCGGUCCCGCCACUGUAAGGGGAGCGAUGACGUGUCACUGGGAAACUGGGAAGACAAAAAUCGCUAUGAACCUGAGCCAGGAAACCUGCCUAUGUCGGUGUGCUAAC
rnacentral:ncRNA from 2 species